rnacentral:rRNA from 1 species
UGAGGAAUUUUGCGCAAUGGGGGAAACCCUGACGCAGCGACGCCGCGUGGAGGACGAAGGCCUUCGGGUCGUAAACUCCUGUCAAGGGGGACGAAAGCUACGACGAUGAAUAAGCGUCGUGGUUGACGGUACCUCUGAAGGAAGCCCCGGCUAACUCCGUGCCAGCAGCCGCGGUAAUACGGAGGGGGCUAGCGUUGUUCGGAAUUAUUGGGCGUAAAGGGCGCGCAGGCGGCUGGGCAAGUCGGAGGUGAAAUCCCUCGGCUCAACCGUGGAACUGCACCCGAUACUGCCUGGCUUGAGUCCCGGAGAGGGUAGCGGAAUUCCCAGUGUAGCGGUGAAAUGCGUAGAUAUUGGGAGGAACACCAGUGGCGAAGGCGGCUACCUGGACGGGUACUGACGCUGAGGCGCGAAAGCGUGGGGAGCAAACAGGAUUAGAUACCCGCGUAGUCC